rnacentral:rRNA from 1 species
CUGCUUCUACUUUCUGUAUGGAGCUGGGAGCGUCUGCCUGUUGGACGCCCGAAGAGCGUCAGGUUUGAUCCUUGGUAUGCAAAUGAACAUGACGAAUUACGGCGCCCCACGUGGGCUUACAAGUGGGAUAUCGUUUCGGAGAUGACGAACGAUGUCAAUCUCAUGUACCAAAAGUACAUUGCCGAGUUGGACACGAUUACGCCUGAGCAGGUAAGGAGGUCAUUACUUUAG